rnacentral:lncRNA from 1 species
AAAAUGAUUACCCUCUCCACGUCACUCAUAUUUUCCAACGGAGUUGUCAGAGAUUAGUACGAUUAUUCCUUCAAAUUGCGGAUUUUUGGUACAAAAGGACAAUUGUUGGACAAAUGAGAGUCGUGGAUAGAUGUGAAUCAAUCCACGCCCUCACAUUUAUCCCAAAAUUGUUUAAAAACUUGAGGUAUUUUUUCGAAUAUUGGGCAGAUUUGUUGAAGAUUUUGAAGACUAAAUAUGAGGUGAGUCUUAUGUUCUAGGUUCGAGGAAAAUAGAUAGAAAAAUCAGAGAGCAAAAAUAUAAAAAAGUCAGAGGAAAAAACAUCAUGAACUUAACUGAGAAAAAUCUUCAAAAAAGGGAGUUGAGUAAAAUUUCUAGAUAUUUAGUUGUCAUUUCUCUUCUGGUCUUUCUUUUCCGGUCGAUUUCUUCUUCAGAAAACAAAAAAAAUGGCUCAACAUAAGUUUUGAAACAUGGUUUAGAUCUCAUUUCUUUGAUGGGGUUUUCGACGGCUGACAUUUGCUGGUUCAGCUGAUGUCUUGAGGAUAUAUUCAACAAUUCUUCUACCGUUUGGGGCUUGCCGAGUUCAACCAUUGUUGGUUUUUCUUAGUCUUUAUUUAGUGAAGGUUCAGUUUUGUUUACGAAUUUAUGUACACAUCUCACUUCUGUAUUUUUUUUCCAAUUUAAAAUGAAAUGUCGGCUUUCUUCGAAGUUGUUUGAUGUAGUGUAAAAUGGCUGUUUACUUUGAUUUAAGCAUGAAUGGAUGCGAGGUUUGACAAGUUUAAGACUAAAAAUAUACUACAGAUUUGCCUGCUAAGAUCAC